GGAAGGGUGGGUGAGUGGCUGAAACCAACGGUUUGCUAAACCGUCGUAGGGUUAACACCUUACCGCGAGUUCGAAUCUCGCCCCUUCCG
rnacentral:tRNA from 1 species